GGACCUGGGCUAUAAAUAUGACAUAGGCUUCUGAAUAUCCCAAUUAGGAGUUAGAGCGGCAAAACGAGAUGAUGGCGCACUUCUGUUUCCAGCUUUCAGAACACUAACGGAAUAUUUACGGCGCGACCAAUUUCUUCAAUUCAGGUUCAAUUCCUUGGACCUGUGUGGAUUUUUGUGGAUUAUUUGUGUUGGAAUAUAUUACCCCAGUGAAAAAAGAGACGCGUCUAAAGCCAAACCAACCUGUGAAUGCUUGAUCUCGUCUGAUCUCGGAAGCUAAGCAGAGUCGGGACUGGUUAGUACUUGGAUGUGUGACUGCCUGGGAAUACCAAGUGCUUGAGCAAGUCUGAGGUGACUCAGGCAGCAGUGGCAAGGAAAAACUCCC